rnacentral:tRNA from 1 species
GGCCCGCUGACCGAGCGGCGAGGUGUGUGGCUGCAAACCACAUCAGGCAGGUUCGACUCCUGCGCGGGCCU